rnacentral:rRNA from 1 species
GUUAUUCAAACUAAAGAGUUUCGGAUAAGGAUAGGCUCGCGUGACAUUAGCUAGACGGCGGGGUAACGGCCCACCGUGGCUACGAUGUCUAGGGGUUCUGAGAGGAAGGUCCCCCACACUGGAACUGAGACACGGUCCAGACUCCUACGGGAGGCAGCAGUGAGGAAUAUUGGACAAUGGAUGGAAAUCUGAUCCAGCCAUGCCGCGUGAAGGAAUACGGUCCUAUGGAUUUUAAACUUCUUUUGUAUGGGGAGCAAUAAGGUGUACGUGUACAUCGAUGAGAGUACCAUACGAAUAAGCAUCGGCUAACUCCGUG